rnacentral:rRNA from 1 species
GUGGGGAAUAUUGGACAAUGGGCGAAAGCCUGAUCCAGCAAUGCCGCGUGAGUGAAGAAGGCCUUCGGGUUGUAAAGCUCUUUUACCCGGGAAGAUAAUGACUGUACCGGGAGAAUAAGCCCCGGCUAACUCCGUGCCAGCAGCCGCGGUAAUACGGAGGGGGCUAGCGUUGUUCGGAAUUACUGGGCCUAAAGCGCACGUAGGCGGUCUUUUAAGUCAGAGGUGAAAGCCCGGGGCUCAACUCCGGAAUUGCCUUUGAAACUGGAAGACUUGAACACGGGAGAGGUGAGUGGAAUUCCGAGUGUAGAGGUGAAAUUCGUAGAUAUUCGGAGGAACACCAGUGGCGAAGGCGGCUCACUGGACCGUUGUUGACGCUGAGGUGCGAAAGCGUGGGGAGCAAACAGGAUUAGAAACCCGGGUAGUCC